rnacentral:misc_RNA from 1 species
CUUUGACAAUGAAUGAAAACUUUUCAAGUUGUUUUCAUGCAUUAAUUUAUGCUUGACUCUAUGACACUGUCAUAUCAGCCAACUACACAACCCUGGCUAACUGAAAAUCUUAAGCUAUUCUACACUAAAUAAUGCAGACUGCUGAUGGCAUAGAUUACAAAUAAAAAUUAAAAUAGACAAGGGAAAUAAAAGGCUGUGAAAAGCCCUACAUUCUACAUUAGAUAAUAUAUUUUAAAGAUCAUUAUUGGCAUAAGCUACCUAUUAUAUUUUAUUCAAUAACCAAUGGAAAAUAUUAAGUUACUGUGUUGAAGAUUGAGUAAGCUAUCCAACAGAAUGGCAGCACACUAUAUAGUAUGUAGAAGUCACCGGACUACAAGUUGACCCAAAUCAAGAUCGGAGCUGCUUAUUGUCAUCCUUAUUUUUCUUAGCAAGAGCUUGAACAAAAAUCCUAUUCAUUAUGCUUAAAAAUUCAUAUUUAGGCUCAUAUAAUUCAUUUAGACAAGAAAAAUUUUCAAUGCUUAUGCUUUCUAUAUGCUUUCAAGAAUGAAGCCUUUCACAUUAAUGUUAUCAUGUGAGAGCUAAAAGACUACAAUGCAAGGAAAAACACAAUUCUUAGAGUACAGUUGCCAAUUUACUUAACUGCAAUGUAGACACGCGCCCUGAUGACAAGAGGUAGUGAUCUUUGAGGAUCCAUCAUUUCCCGUACUAACCUUCUUAGCAGAAAUGGAAGGUCUUGCAUUCUCUGAAUGAGACCACUAGUCUGUCCUCCAAAAAGACGAUUAUAUGCUUGAACCUUUUGCAAAAUCUCAGCAACCUCAGGGUUAUGACGCUCUCUUUGGGAAGCUUCACCAGGGACCAACAAUGUAAUUUGACGACGACAUAGUGGACAUUUACAUGGUUGAAUUGCAGAUCCAUGAUGCCAAACAAGCAUAAUGCAAUCACCUAAAAAGCAUAUGGAGAUUUUUUUUUUGUGUUUUUUAAAAAAGUGAAAAUUACUUAAGAGUUGAAUGAUAGAUUUAAAAAAAUAUACAUCCAGCUACCAUUUCAAAUAUGCUCGCCAAAAAAAGAUAGAUGGAUUUAUAGACUUUGAGCUCAGUAGUUAUAGGAGCAAAGGUUCUUCAAUCACAGGUUGAUGCCAUCAUAUAAUUGUGAUGAAACAAGGAAACAAUAUCUAUGAUAAAAUUUACAACAUUGUCACCCAACGCUAGUUCUGUAACACUUAGAACUUCAUUUUAUAUGAUUAAACACAGGUGCUUCAAAAGUAUAAAACAAAAGAAAAAAGAAUUGUGGAAUACAAUCUCUUAAAAUUUACAAAAAUGCAUAUAAGUAAAAAAACUAAAAAGAAAACUCAUAGAACAAAGUGGCAUAUUUUCAUAAACAAGUUUGCAUCCCCACUGGUAAUCCAGUACUAAAAAAAAUUGAAGGGUUAAUUUGAAGUUUCAACAAACAGGUGGGUCCUAAUUAAUUGUUAAGAAGACACAAAAUUUCAACAUUACUUUGUUUCACAGCAGAUGAGAAAGCAUAUUAUGUGAUAUGUACCCGAACAAAGAGCUUCAGAGUCAUUUCAGAGCCAUGAAAUGCGUCCAGAAAACGAGUGCUGUCUAUUUAAGUUGAUAUCAGAUACAAAUUUGAAAUGAUUUCAUAAUUUAGAGAAAGAAUAAGCAAAAUUCGCAAUUGGGUGUGAAGAACGAAAAAUUUUGUAUUAGUUUAUGUAUUUUUGUUCCAGCGAAAGAGUGAGAAGAAGAAGAAAGGAAAGAAAUACCGCAAAACCAGUGGGAGCAAUUGGCCUGGCAAGGGACUCUGAAGCGUCCAUGGCAAACAGAGCACCAAUCGUUCGCCGGAGGCCCGUCCAUUCCCUUCUCUCUUCCUCUUCUUCCUCACUAUCAAUCCAAUUUCCAAAUAG